GAUGAACGCUAGCGGCAGGCUUAAUACAUGCAAGUCGUGGGGCAGCAGGGUUGUAGCAAUACAAUCGCUGGCGACCGGCAAACGGGUGCGUAACACGUACGCAACCUUCCCGUUACUGUGGCAUAGCCCAGGGAAACUUGGAUUAAUACCACAUAUUAUAUUGAGGGGGCAUCCCUUUGAUAUCAAAGCUUCGGCGGUAACGGAUGGGCGUGCGGUUGAUUAGGUAGUUGGCGGGGUAACGGCCCACCAAGCCUACGAUCAAUAGCUGAUGUGAGAGCAUGAUCAGCCACACGGGAACUGAGACACGGGCCCGACUCCUACGGGAGGCAGCAGUAAGGAAUAUUGGGCAAUGGACGAAAGUCUGACCCAGCCAUGCCGCGUGAAGGAUUAAGGUCCUCUGGAUUGUAAACUUCUUUUCUCUGGGGCGAAAACCAGCUAUUCUUAGCUAUUUGACAGUACCAGAGGAAUAAGCACCGGCUAACUCCGUGCCAGCAGCCGCAGUAAGAC
rnacentral:rRNA from 1 species